rfam:Ciona savignyi cont_34280, whole genome shotgun sequence.
CUCCUUUUUUGCCCCGUGUAAACUUAGUAGAUGCGAAUAAAAUCAGUUGAAUCAUCACCUGGGACGGAAACGAUUCGUUUCCUCUAUGUAUUAAUCGGAUUUUUGAACUUGGAGUAUGGUGCUGGAGCUUGCUCCACCCUGCUCACGGGUUGUCCUGGUAUUGCAGUACCUCCAGGUUCGGCUCACGUUUC